rnacentral:lncRNA from 1 species
CUGUUCUUUCUCCCACACUUUUCUCUGCUCUAAAACAGAGCCUAUAUAUAGAGAAGGUUGGGGGGCCUACAUCUUGACAAUGGAGCCACCUUCCGACAUCCGCAGCCGUCCUUCUCUCUCUCUUCCAUUCUUUCUCUUCUCCGUAGUAACAGAGACUUUGUCUCGGACAAGCAUACCUCUGUGCAUCUAGAAGAAGGUAGUAAGAUUGGUAAGGGGUUGGUAAUGGGCUGGGCCUUUUGAUCCUAGGGUGGACCUUCCAAUUGUGGGCUGGAUCCAACAUCUCCCCUCCAGCCAAUUGGAGGGUAAUCUGAUCCAGCUUCCCCGUAAGAUCUGCAAGAAUGCAUCCGAGAUAACCUGCCCUCAUCAAUGAGCACCGCACUUCCAGACGAAGUGCCUGACACUUCUCAUUAGGUGCCUUGCUCCCCCACCAAAGGCUCCGCCAAGAUACAUCACUUUGCGAGUCAUCGUGGCUCUCUCUCUCCUCCCUUGUGUACACAUUUGAAGAGAUCACUGCCACUAAUCAAAUCGGAGCGAAAGAGACCGUUUCGGCGACGUCGCGCUGUCGAUUUAACAAUCUUCAGAAUCGACUUGUCUCCUCCCUCUGGAUUUCCCUGGACAAUCCGCACUGGUCGCACCGGUCUUGUCUGAUCUGACUUUCCGCACGUGUUCUCAAAGAGUCUCCUUGCGCUCCUUGUACCACUCUGGCUCUCCAGGUGUCCCUGCGCUAGGCUUUGCGUGCCUGUCUGCACCCUGUUAUUUCUUGUCCAUUCUUCCUUCUUAUAUUCACUGGACCAUGUGGACAGCGUUCUCUCCUGUGUGGGAUGGACAUUCCCCUCCAGUCGAUAUAGUCCACUUGUUUCCUUCCCCUUAGCAUCUCUUUGUUUCCUUGGGAAAUUAUCACGAUCCUCCCUUAGCUACAAGAUGCAACCCAUUGAAUCUAACGUCCGAUGGAAAUCAAAUUUUUCCGUAGUUUGGGAACAUGCCGUACCUCGUCACAGUCACAAACCUUCCCGUAUGCCAUGCGGAACUAGACUGUUCCCUUGCCAACAACUUGUUCGUCGUGUUGUCGCCAUCGCCCCAAGUCCCGCGCAUGUGGUAUGUAGAAACAUCUUCUUGUCUCUACAAAAAUCGUAGGCACUUCCUGAAUCCAAUACCCAGUCUGGAUCCAUAUGCCGAUGUUACUAGGACGCAUCAUAUCGAAUCUGUCAUCCCUGAUGACCGAUGCUAAUGGCUGUCUCUGAAGACUGCAAUAUGUGUUUUAAUUGGGAUUUGGGCAAUUCUAUUAAAUGCCUUCUUGGUCACAGAAAAAAAACACUUAAAACUGCGACCUCUGGAUUGUGACCUCGGCGUCCUCUCCCAUGAUUCCUCUGUUGACCUCGACCUCUUUCCCUGCUUCAGUCUGAGAUUAGGGCAUGCGACUCACUUCGGAUGUCAUGCCAUCUCUUUCUUCCGGGCUCUCGUUGAAUAGGGGCAUCCUUGACUGUACUCAGAGUCAACUUCCCAUCCUGCGCGGAUUGCUGAGGAAACCACCAAUGUCUCCCAACUCUCUGGUAAAGAAUCAGAAGCAAUAGAGCCUGCAUCUCAUCGUCAAAAAUGGAGGUCUAUACUGGCAAACUGGUUGACCAAUUAGGAACUCGCUAGAUUGUUCGCCACCUCCCUCUCGAAGUUUCAGAUUCACAGCCUCCUCACAAUAAGGCCUUGUUCGAGAGUCUUCGCCGGUACAAUUCUCCCCAAUUUGGUCAUAGAUCGUAAGGACUAGUCUCUUGGUUGCUACGUGGUGGAAACAGGUUCGUGGCCCAAUACACUGUUGAUUAGCCAAUCGUUUUUCGGUUCAUUUUAAUCAUUCCUCAUCCUUCUUUCCUGUAGUUUUCUCCUUAUUCUCCAAAAGAUCAUGCAAAUCUUUACAGAAUAGGAUGUCUCCCAUCCGCGAUUUUCAUAGGGCGUUAAUUUGUAGCCUGAAAGACAUAAUCAUAGCUCCCAAUUUUCCUCCACCAUCUGACUCUCACAAAUGAAAGCAAAAUAUCAUGAAAACUGACCCGCGGAUAGAUUCGGAAUGCCUAGAAAAAUCAAAAGGGCUUUUCCGUCAAAACUCAGAAUCUUUGGGACCCAAUUGAAUAAAUAAAAAAUUCAGGGGCUAAAUUGAAAUUUCCCAAACUUCAGGGGUCAAUCUGUAAUUAAACAGAAGUCCAGGGGAAGAAAGUGCAAUUUUAAUUUGACCGGUCAACGGUCAACGUUUGGACCCGGUCAACGGCUUGGGUGACCGGUUAACGGCUCGGGUUGACCCGGCAAGGCUUGACGGUCAACGGCUCAGUCAAAAGCGCGGAUCGGCUCACGGAUCGGCGCGGCUCUGGCGCGGCUCGCGUGUGCUGCACGCGCGGCUCGGUGGAGAGUGAGGGGGGCAGACUGGAGAGGAAGCGGGGGGAACGGGAGGGGGGGUUUGUGUUGGUUUGGGGGGGGGUGGUUGUUUUUUGUGUUGUUUUGUUAUUGUUGGUGUUUUUUUUGUCGUUUUUUGUUUGAGGAGGAUGAGAGUGGAAGCCACUCUUCCCCCUGGCGCGUGGGGCGAGGUGAAGGCGCGUGGGCGCGCGUGCGGUGCUCUGUGGACCCGUCUGUCGGCGCGUGCGGCGCGUGGAUCUGACGGCAGAACUUCAAACGGCGCGUGAGGGCUCGUUUGAACUCCGAUUUGGAUGCCAUUGUGCUGAGCUUUCGUCAUCGAAGAGACAAAGCUCGUGGUAUGCUCAAAUUGCCGAUUUUGAGCACUUCGGAAUUUGCUCAGAAUUCGAAAGUUUACUCCGGUGGCAAUCGGUGACUCUCCAGUGACUCGAACUUGGCUCUGAUACCAAAUUGUUGGCCAAAACGAGUUACCAGUCACUCUACCAACUUAAACCACACCACAAGACAAGAUUUACGUGGUUCGGCCAACAAUGCCUACGUCCACGGAGAGGAUCUGUUAAUUCACUAUCUCAGAAUGAAUUACAAUGAAUACAAAGGAGGAGAUCACACUCAACUCACUCAAUCAUCUACUCUCUCAAUCUCUCAUUCUUGCUCUCUUCUCUCACAGCCACUCUGUAUCUUUUACAGAAUUUAUCUACACUGCCUUGCCCCCUCUUGUUCUUCUCCCAACUUUUCUAUGCUCUAAAACAGAGCCUAUAUAUAGAGAAGGUUUGGCCUCCAUCUUUGACAAUGGAGCCACCUUCCGACAUCCGCAGCCUUCCUUCUCUCUCUCUUCCAUUCUUUCUCCUCUCCGCAGCUAACAGAGACUUUGUCUCUGACAAAGCAUACCUCUGUGCAUCUAGAAGAAGGUAGGUAAGAUUGGUAAUGGGUUGGUAAUGGGCUUGGGCCUUUUGAUCCUAUGGGUUGG